CGAGAGCACGUAGUCCCCCGGGCAGGUAGACGAGUCCCGCACCAGGAACAUGCCAUGCCGCUGCCCCUGCAACCGCGUCUGCGCCUCCGCCCGAGACACUGGGCCCACGUACCAGCUGGAGCGGUCCGACGAAUCGAAACGAGCGGCAGACGACAUGGCUGCGGGCAGGGAAGGGGGGAAGGAAGGUGAAGAGCCCGAAGGCCCAGGCGGAAUAUCUUCCUUCGUGCUCUACGAGCCACUUCCCUGCCUCUCCAUAGCCCUGUUCCCAGAUACCAGGGUCAAAGCCGUGCCCGGCUCGGGGCGCGGGCGGCAGGGAGGAUGCUGCUGCAGCUGCUGAAGAGGAAGGAAGCCCCGGAAAGGACUCAGCAGGCCUCACAGGCAGGGGUUGGGGUCCUGUGCUGCCCUCUCUGAGGGCUCACUGUGAGAGAGGAUGCUUUUCCCUGUAAGAUGCAGGACUGACAGAUCAGAGAAUUCAUACAUAAAAAAGAUGGAAGCAGGAUCAAAUCCCUCUCUGUAAUGUACAUCUUGCCGUCCAGCGCUGCUCCGGCGUGCGCGUACACCUGCACACCGUGGGGAAAGCAACAGCGUCAGGCUGCACCAGGUUGUUCUCCCAGAUUCUAGGCAUGGAACGGAGGGUAAGGCAGAGACACUCCUCCUGAGUGGUGCAGAUAUCAACAUCUGGAAGGGUUUUCUUCUAGACAAUCCCUUUCUAGGUGGCUGUGCUGGUGUGAGGCUACUUGGAAUGGUUAAAUGAGAGAAAUGGGAUUGUAGGCUGCGAGAAGCAGACAGUGCUGGUGUCUGCUGCACUCAGGCUUGCUGAGGUGUAGAAGAGCAGGACACAAACACAGCUAAGACAGGCAGGCUCUGGCUCUGUGCUUUCUCCUUGGGCUUCUGCUGCUCUGCUUGCAUCCGUGUAACCCAACUAAUCCUUCUGCUUCUAAGCCCCCUUGCACGUAAGGCAGGCUAUGGGAUAAGGUAGAGGGGUGGGAAGAAGGUGGAAGGGUGGUUGGGAGCCCCUCCUGGGGACUUUGGUUUCUGGGAGGGCUGCUGUGCUUCUGUAUUACUUUUAGCUUGUGCAUUCCUGUACCUAGCUGUAAAUAUAUUGCAUAUAAAUCUGCUUGUGACCGGUGCCAAGCAAUAAAUAAAGCAUCAUUGCUUAACUUCCA